GACGAACGCUGGCGGCGUGCUUAACACAUGCAAGUCGAACGGAAAGGCCCUGCUUUUGUGGGGUGCUCGAGUGGCGAACGGGUGAGUAACACGUGAGUAACCUGCCCUUGACUUUGGGAUAACUUCAGGAAACUGGGGCUAAUACCGGAUAGGAGCUCCUGCUGCAUGGUGGGGGUUGGAAAGUUUCGGCGGGUGGGGAUGGACUCGCGGCUUAUCAGCUUGUUGGUGGGGUAGUGGCUUACCAAGGCUUUGACGGGUAGCCGGCCUGAGAGGGUGACCGGCCACAUUGGGACUGGGAUACGGCCCAGACUCCUUCGGGAGGCAGCAGUGGGGAAUAUUGCACAAUGUGCGGAAGCCGGAUGCAGCAACGCCGCGUGCGGGAUGACGGCCUUCGGGUUGUAAACCGCUUUCGCCUGUGACGAAGCGUGAGUGACGGUAAUGGGUAAAGAAGCACCGGCUAACUACGU
rnacentral:rRNA from 1 species